UACGAAGGGGGCUAGCGUUGUUCGGAAUUACUGGGCGUAAAGCGUGCGCAGGCGGCCAUCCAAGUCAGUGGUGAAAGCCCGGAGCUCAACUCCGGAAUUGCCAUUGAAACUGUUUGGCUCGAGUACGAGAGAGGUGAGUGGAAUUCCCAGUGUAGAGGUGAAAUUCGUAGAUAUCGGGAGGAACACCAGUGGCGAAGGCGACUACCUGGCCUGUUCUUGACGCUGAGGCGCGAAAGCUAGGGGAGCAAACGGG
rnacentral:rRNA from 1 species